rnacentral:rRNA from 1 species
GUUGCCAGCCGCCGCGGUAAUAACUGCGCCACGAGUGGUGGUCUCGAUUAUUGGGCUUAAAGUGUCCGUAGCCGGCCUUACAAGCAUCUGGUGAAAUCCGGCAGUAAACUGUCGGGCUGGCUAGAUGAACUGUAAGGCUAGGGACCGGGAGGGGCCGGGAGUACUCCUAGGGUAGGGGUUAAAUCCUUUAAUCCUAGGGGGACUACCAGUGGCGAAGGCGCCCGGCUAGAACGGGUCCGACGGUGAGGGACGAAAGCUGGGGGAGCGAUCCGGAUUAGAUACCCGGGUAGUCC